rnacentral:rRNA from 1 species
UUGGAGGGCAAGUCUGGUGCCAGCAGCCGCGGUAAUUCCAGCUCCAAUAGCGUAUAUUAAAGUUGUUGCAGUUAAAAAGCUCGUAGUUGAAUUUCGGGGUCAGUAGGUUGGUCAUGCCACUGGUAUGUACUGGUCCCACUGAUUCCUCCUUCCUGAUGAGCUGUAAUGCCAUUAAUUUGGUGUUGCGGGGAAUCUGGACUGUUACUUUGAAAAAAUUAGAGUGUUUAAAGCAGGCUAACGCCUGAAUACAUUAGCAUGGAAUAAUGAAAUAGGACGUUCGAUCCUAUUUUGUUGGUUUCUAGGAUUGACGUAAUGAUUAAUAGGGAUAGUUGGGGGCAUUAGUAUUCAAUUGUCAGAGGUGAAAUUCUUGGAUUUAUUGAAGACUAACUACUGCGAAAGCAUUUGCCAAGGAUGUUUUCAUUAAUCAAGAACGAAAGUUAGGGGAUCGAAGACGAUCAGAUACCGUCGUAGUCUUAACCAUAAACUAUGCCGACUAGGGAUCGGAUGAUGUUAAUUUUUUAAUGACUCAUUCGGCGCCUUACGGGAAAC